AUUGAACGCUGGCGGCAUGCUUUACACAUGCAAGUCGAACGGUAACAGGCCUUCGGGUGCUGACGAGUGGCGAACGGGUGAGUAAUGCAUCGGAACGUGCCCAGAGGUGGGGGAUAACGCAGCGAAAGCUGUGCUAAUACCGCAUGUGAUCUGAGGAUGAAAGCGGGGGACCAGGCAGCAAUGUUUGGCCUCGCGCCUUUGGAGCGGCCGAUGUCAGAUUAGGUAGUUGGUGGGGUAAAGGCCUACCAAGCCGACGAUCUGUAGCUGGUCUGAGAGGACGACCAGCCACACUGGGACUGAGACACUGCCCAGACUCCUACGGGAGGCAGCAGUGGGGAAUUUUGGACAAUGGGCGCAAGCCUGAUCCAGCAAUGCCGCGUGCGGGAAGAAGGCCUUCGGGUUGUAAACCGCUUUUGUACGGAACGAAAAGGCUCUGGCUAAUACCUGGGGCUGAUGACGGUACCGUAAGAAUAAGCACCGGCUAACUACGUG
rnacentral:rRNA from 1 species